AGCGCGCCCACUUCCCCGGCCCACCGGGUUCCUCAGGCUGUUUACACUAGCGCUCUACCAACGAUGCCCAGGUUAUUCACUUUUGGAGGAUGCUGCAAUAUGAACUCAUUAAAGUUCUGGAGGCUGGAAGAUCAAGGAGCUGGUGGGUUCAGUGUCUGACACCAGGUCUCACUGUGUUGCCCAGACUGGCAGGCUGGCACGAUCAUGGCUCACUGCGCACUGACGUCCUGGCCUCAUGGAAUCCUCUCACCUCAGCCUUGUGCUUUCCUUUAUAUGUAAGGAUGACACCACACAGCAUGCUUAAUUAUCUACUUAUUGCUGUUGGCUUUUAUUUGGGGUUUAGGGAGUAGAUCAAUCAAUCACAUUCUGUAGAUUAAGUUUUGGUUUUCUGUUGUUGGGUAUUUGUUCUUUGGGGUCUUUGUGUUUGUUUAUUUCCACAAAGAGGCCUGUCAGUAGGGAUUGGAGUCAUUUCACCAACUGAUAUAACCAAUUCUGAUGGAAUUUUUUUAAUAGGAUUGAACUUAAAUAUUCUGAUUCAUUGCAUUAUAACUACUGACUUACAAGGUUACAAUUUUUAUUCAUGAGGAAUUGAAUGGAUAAACUAUUGCUCUGCUCUAGAUACUUGCCAGUGAAGUAUUAAAUCUUUUCAUUAAAAAAAAAUAAAGAUAAACAAAGCAUGACUACAUUUCUCAUUUUACUGAAAUUACUGAAUGGAAAAACCAGUAUAAAUGUGCCCUAUUAAAAGAACACCUAAAAAAUGAAAAUCCAGCUAUUUCUUUUCAAAAGAAUUAAUCACAGCUUCUCUAUACAUCAUAAACUCUACUGUGUCAUCUUAAAUAUGAUUGAAUUUAUAUAAAACUCGAAGAAUAUAUUUAUCAGAAAAAGAGCUAUAAUUGUAUUAAUUGGCAGGUUGUGAUGAUGUUUUAACAUGAAAUAUCAAAAUCCAUUGAUUCAUGGACUGGCUUCAGUGGAGAAAGACCUUUACCAAUAGGCCAGGCUAGAGAUCCUAGGAGCCUCUCAAAUGUUUUCUAUGUCCUGAAUGAUACUCAGUGCUUAAAGGAUAAAUAAAUAAAUAAGUAAAUAAAUAGUUUCUUAUGAUGUGCACAUUCAUUCCUCCCUUUUCCUGGAGGAGUAAUUUCAGGGUUGUGUACAUUCUCCCAACCUCGCAGAGUCAUCAGACUGCCAUGAACCACCCAUCCCAUUUCCUUAGGGCAGUGCACUAAAAAAAAAAAAAAAAACAGGACUGUAAAACUCCUAGAAAAAAACAUAGAAAUACAGAGUGUUGGCAAUUAUUUCUUGAAUAUGACACCAAAUGCACAGACAAAAAAGCCAAAAGCAAAACUAGACAAGUAGGACUACAUCAAACUAAAAAGAUUCUACAUAGCAAAGGAAACAAUAGAGAGAAAGGACAACUUACUAAAUGGGAAAAAAUAUUUGCAAACUAUACAUUUGAUAAAAGGUUAAUACCAAAAAUAUAUAAGUAGCAAAAAAAAACUAAAUAAUCAUAUUAAAAAAUAGGCAAGGGACUUGAAUAGACAUUUCUCAAAAGAAGACAUAUAAAUGGCCAGCAGAUAUUUGAAAACAUGCUCAACAUCAC
rnacentral:lncRNA from 1 species